rnacentral:rRNA from 1 species
AUUGAACGCUGGCGGCAGGCCUAACACAUGCAAGUCGAACGGUAACUGGUCUUCGGAUGCUGACGAGUGGCGAACGGGUGAGUAAUACAUCGGAACGUGCCCGAUCGUGGGGGAUAACGGAGCGAAAGCUUUGCUAAUACCGCAUACGAUCUACGGAUGAAAGCAGGGGACCGCAAGGCCUUGCGCGGACGGAGCGGCCG